AUGCAUGUCUAAGUAUAAGCAAUCUAUACGGUGAAACUGCGAAUGGCUCAUUAAAUCAGUUAUCGUUUAUUUGAUAGUACCUUACUACAUGGAUACCCGUGGUAAUUCUAGAGCUAAUACAUGCUAAAAACCUCGACUUCGGAAGGGGUGUAUUUAUUAGAUAAAAAACCAAUGCCCUUCGGGGCUCGUUGGUGAUUCAUAAUAACUUCUCGAAUCGCAUGGCCUUGCGCCGGCGAUGGUUCAUUCAAAUUUCUGCCCUAUCAACUUUCGAUGGUAGGAUAGUGGCCUACCAUGGUGGCAACGGGUAACGGGGAAUUAGGGUUCGAUUCCGGAGAGGGAGCCUGAGAAACGGCUACCACAUCCAAGGAAGGCAGCAGGCGCGCAAAUUACCCAAUCCCGAUACGGGGAGGUAGUGACAAUAAAUACUGAUACAGGGCUCGUUUGGGUCUUGUAAUUGGAAUGAGAACAAUUUAAAUCCCUUAACGAGGAACAAUUGGAGGGCAAGUCUGGUGCCAGCAGCCGCGGUAAUUCCAGCUCCAAUAGCGUAUAUUAAAGUUGUUGCAGUUAAAAAGCUCGUAGUUGAACCUUGGGUCUGGCUGGCCGGUCCGCCUCACGGCGUGCACUGGUCCGGCUGGAUCUUUCCUUCUGGGGAGCCCCAUGGCCUUCACUGGCUGUGGGGGGAACCAGGACUUUUACUGUGAAAAAAUUAGAGUGUUCAAAGCAGGCCUUUGCUCGGAUACAUUAGCAUGGAAUAAUAGAAUAGGACGUGCGGUUCUAUUUUGUUGGUUUCUAGGACCGCCGUAAUGAUUAAUAGGGAUGGUCGGGGGCGUCAGUAUUCGGCUGUCAGAGGUGAAAUUCUUGGAUUUGCCGAAGACUAACUACUGCGAAAGCAUUCGCCAAGGAUGUUUUCAUUAAUCAGGGAACGAAAGUUAGGGGAUCGAAGACGAUCAGAUACCGUCGUAGUCUUAACCAUAAACUAUG
rnacentral:rRNA from 2 species